AUGAUCGGGCGCCGACUUCGUCUCGGUGUUGGUGCCCGCUACCUCACCACGGCAGCCGUCCGGCGUGGGGACCUCGCCGGCGCCGCGGAGGCCUUCGCGUCCGCGCCCCGCAAGACCACGGCCGACUACAACCGCCUCCUCGCGGGCUACGCGAGGUCGCCCGGCGCCCGCCUCGCGGACGCGCGCCACCUGUUCGGCCGAAUCCCGCACCCUGACGUCGUCUCCUACAACACGCUCCUCUCCUGCCACUUCGCCGGCGGAGACGUCCGCGGCGCCCGGGAGCUCUUCUCCGCGAUGCCGGACAGGGACGUCGCGUCCUGGAACACCAUGGUGUCCGGGCUGUCCAGGAACGGGGCCGUGGGGGAGGCCAGGGCCUUGUUCCUGGCCAUGCCCGCGAGGAACUCCGUCUCCUGGAACGCCAUGGUUUCCGGGUUUGCCUCCGCUGGAGACAUGGGCAUGGCCGAGGAGUGCUUUAGGGACGCGCCCGACAAGGAGGACGCCGUUCUUUGGACAGCCAUGGUGUCAGGGUACAUGGAUGCUGGCGAUGUGGACAAGGCAACGGAGUUGUUCCAGGAAAUGCCGGUGAGGAACUUGGUCUCAUGGAACGCCAUGGUUGCGGGCUAUGUCAAAAAUUCACGCACGGAUGAUGCUUUGAUGGUGUUCAAGACGAUAGUCAGGGAUGCUGAUGUUCGGCCAAACGAGUCGACAUUAAGUAGCGUGCUCCUUGGAUGCAGCAACCUGUCUGCGCUGGGAUUUGGGAGGCAGGUACAUCAGUGGUGCAUCAAGCUGCCGCUGAGUCGGAGAAUAACUGUUGGUACGUCGCUCGUGAGCAUGUACUGCAAGUGCGGCGACUUGGAGGGCGCGUGCAAGCUGUUCAGUGAGAUGCGUACAAGGGAUGUGGUUGCAUGGAAUGCUAUGAUUUCAGGCUAUGCACAGCAUGGCCACGGGCAGGAAGCUAUCAACUUGUUUGAAAAGAUGAAGGCUCAAGGUGUUAAGCCUAACUGGAUUACUUUUGUGGCAGUAUUGACUGCUUGUAUCCACACUGGAUUUUGCGAUUUUGGAAUACAGUGUUUUGAGACAAUGCAGGAAAUCUACGGAGUCAAGCCCCGGGCUGAUCAUUACUCUUGCAUGGUGGAUCUUCUGUGCCGAGCUGGUUUGCUUGAAAGAGCUGUGUGCUUGAUUCGCUCUAUGCCUUUUGAGCCACAUCCUUCUGCCUACGGCACUCUAUUGGCUGCUUGUAGAGUUUACAAGAACUUGGAGUUUGCUGAGUUUGCUGCUGGAAAGCUGAUCCAACAGAACUCACACAACGCAGGCGCCUAUGUACAGUUGGCAAAUAUUUAUGCUGCAGCAAAUCAGUGGGCCGAGGUCUCCAGAGUAAGGAGGUGGAUGAAGGAUAAUGCAGUUGUCAAAACACCUGGGUAUAGCUGGGUUGAGAUAAAGGGUGUGGUUCAUGAGUUCAGAUCAAAUGACAGAUUACAUCCUCAGCUUCGUUUGAUUCAUGAAAGAUUGGACUGGUUGGAAGAGCGGAUGAAGGCAAUGGGUUAUGCUCCAGAUCUUGAUUUUGUACUGCAUGAUGUAGACGAAAGUCUUAAGGUGCAGAUGCUAAUGAGGCACAGUGAGAAGCUCGCUAUUGCUUUUGGCCUCAUUAGUACUGCACCUGGGUUAACCUUGAGGAUAUUCAAGAAUCUCAGGGUCUGUGGAGAUUGCCAUAAUGCUGCGAAGCUCAUCUCCAAGAUCGAGGAUCGAGAAAUCAUCCUGAGGGAUACAACACGUUUCCAUCACUUUAAAGGUGGGCAUUGUUCAUGUGGGGGUUACUGGUGA
rnacentral:rRNA from 1 species